UGAGGAAUAUUGGUCAAUGGUCGCUAGACUGAACCAGCCAAGUAGCGUGCGGGAUGAAGGCCCUCCGGGUCGUAAACCGCUUUUAGACGGGGAUAAAAGGGCGUACGUGUACGCCGUAUUGCAUGUACCGUCAGAAAAACGGACCGGCUAAUUCCGUGCCAGCAGCCGCGGUAAUACGGAAGGUCCGGGCGUUAUCCGGAUUUAUUGGGUUUAAAGGGAGCGUAGGCGGACUUUCAAGUCAGUGGUAAAAUCGUGUGGCUCAACCAUACCUCGCCAUUGAAACUGGAAGUCUGGAGUGCACACAGGGGUGCCGGAAUUCAUGGUGUAGCGGUGAAAUGCUUAGAUAUCAUGAAGAACUCCGAUCGCGAAGGCAAGUGCCCGGGGUGCAACUGACGCUGAGGCUCGAAGGUGCGGGUAUCGAAUAGGAUUAGAUACC
rnacentral:rRNA from 1 species